rnacentral:rRNA from 1 species
UACCAGCACCCCGAGUGGUCGGGACGUUUAUUGGGCCUAAAGCAUCCGUAGCCGGUUCUACGAGUCUUCCGUUAAAUCCAACUGCUUAACAGGUGGGCUGCGGAAGAUACUAUAGAGCUAGGAGGCGGGAGAGGCAAGCGGUACUCGAUGGGUAGGGGUAAAAUCCGUUGAUCCAUUGAAGACCACCAGUGGCGAAGGCGGCUUGCCAGAACGCGCUCGACGGUGAGGGAUGAAAGCUGGGGGAG